AGAUUGAACGCUGGCGGCAUGCCUUACACAUGCAAGUCGAACGGCAGCACGGGAGCAAUCCUGGUGGCGAGUGGCGAACGGGUGAGUAAUAUAUCGGAACGUGCCCAGUCGUGGGGGAUAACGCAGCGAAAGCUGUGCUAAUACCGCAUACGAUCUAUGGAUGAAAGCGGGGGAUCGCAAGACCUCGCGCGAUUGGAGCGGCCGAUAUCAGAUUAGCUAGUUGGUGGGGUAAAAGCCUACCAAGGCGACGAUCUGUAGCUGGUCUGAGAGGACGACCAGCCACACUGGAACUGAGACCACGGUCCAGACU
rnacentral:rRNA from 1 species